UCCCACUUUAUAGCAAAACAAAAAUAUAACUGCAAUGUUUACUUCAUCUAUACAAUUCCAAAUUAAAUCGUCUGCUGAUGUACAAAUUUCACUUGUGUUUUGUUCUAAAUAAGCAGCAAAACCUUUAACCUAGUAGGUGCUUCAUCUGGGAGUGAAAACACGACAACUUGGCAUUUAUUAUUGAAUGACUGUGACUGGGUCACCUUAGUUGUAAUUGCAAAUCUGCCUUUCAACUGACUUGAUGCUACCUUAUUUUGUUUCUUUCACUCUAUUGGCCUCGAGCUCCACCACUGGAAAAGCUGGCGCCACCGUCGGCGUGAUGUGCUAUUAGGGAUCACGUGGACAUAGCGUCCGCGUCGGCUGCUUCUGGAGCGCCGAAGCGAGCUGAAAACGAGAGUUUAAAUUCCCUCGUACGCUGCGGUCCUCGUUUAGUGGCGAGAUUCUCCCGCUUCGAGUGUCUCCUUUACAAGGCUUGAAAGCACCACAAUAGGUAGUGGCUGCCUUUGAAGGCGCGCAACGUGGUAGGCUACUGCUCGGUGCCGCAGUGCUGCACGUACGCAACGGAGCCCGGGGUCAGCAUUAUUCACACGUAGCCGCAGGACAAGAAGCUGCGUGAAGCUUGGCUCGCGAAACAUAAAACCGGCAAACAGCCAUCGGCUACAACUCAGGUAUGCAGCAAGCACAGGCGCGAGGAAGAUUUCUGCUACGGCGCCGGGUCUGUGAUAUAUGUUCGGAAAACGCGCACUGAGACGCUCGCCCGAGUCCGCUGCCCGACUAAUGUCAUGACGGUUUGGUCUAUGAACUUGUCGACGCUAUAGAUGCUGGCAAGUUCACUGGAGUGGAAAGGGAGCGGUAAGAAGCACGUUAAAAAAAAUGAUGGCAUAUGGUCAUGUUUGUGUUAUGAAUUAAUGCAGUGGAUUACAAAAAAGAAGCAGCGGGAAAUCGCACGCUGAGAACACCGAUAAACAUACAGUGCGAUGCAACUCGUGAAAUAAUAUUGAAACGUCCAAGAAUUUAUAAGAGGAAAAAAAAAAAAGAUUGAAUCGUCGCGACGGCACAUCCCAGUCCCCGUCGAAGUCUCGACAAUGAAAUUAUUUUUGAACAACUCUGAUAGCGCCCACGCAACAAUGGUUGCAUCUAUAUUGUCAAAUGCUCAUAUUCUACGGCCUAAAGCUCGCGGCACGGUGCGAAAACGCGCACGCGGUGAAAGCGAAAAAGUGCGCGGACAAGCAUGCAGACGCGCAGUCGGUCGCUGCGAAUCUGUGCGGUCGCUGCAUUGAGGCUUCAUUCUAUUACGCUCCAUUCAGUUAUACAAACACUAUAAGAACAUAUAUCACAUAGUUUGCUCUCAGCGUUUACCUAUCUUUCACGCAAGAAGCCGGUUCGGGAGACUCCAUCGCGGCGACCGCGCGCAGUGGCGUUCACUGUACGUAUUCGGUAAAGAGAUAUCGUCUGUAAACGAUUCUGUGCUUUCACUUUGCCCAUGAUUAUUAUUUAGACAGUAACAAACUUCUCUCGUUUCGAAAGUACUUACAGAAAUGUCCGGGAGAGCUCGUGCGGGGUGUUUUCAGUGAGCGCUGAGAGCAAAACCUAUGAGGAGCGUGCCACGUGAUCCCUCAUACUACGCCAGCCAGGCGCUUCCGAUAGAUGGCGACUCCGUAACUCCUCGCCGCCAAUAGACGGCUGGACAUCCUUAUCGUACCUUGGCGCUAGCUGGAUGACGGGACCUCAUCAUGAUCAGUGUAUUGCUUGCCUAUGUCUACAAGAACUGUCACGCGUGGCCUGUAACAGCAAGCUUUUAUGGGCAGCAAGUGCUCUCCUACGAAGGCUGGCCUACUCUGGCAGCGGCGGCAAUCAUCUUCAAGAUUUAUCCAUAAUCACCUUUGCUGCUAUUUGUCACUCUUGUUGAUUACACUUUCUGCGUCUUUUCUAAUUUAUUAGGUAAUAAAGUAUGAGUAUGUGA